GACAGAGGCCACGAACGUUGUUCGGAAUCACUGGGCAUAAAGCGCACGUAGGCGGCUAGGUCCGUCCAAUGUGAAAGCCCCCGGCUCAACCGGGGAAUUGCAUCGGAUACAGCCUGGCUUGAGGACGGUUGGGGUGAGUGGAACUCCUGGUGGAGCGGUGAAAUGCGUAGAUAUCAGGAGGAACACCGGUGGCGAAAGCGGCUCACUGGACCGCUACUGACGCUGAGGUGCGAAAGCUAGGGGAGCAAACGGG
rnacentral:rRNA from 1 species